GCACACAAGCACAGGAGCAUACUCUCUCUCAAAAAACAACAAUAACAACAAUUUUCCCACUAUUGAUAAAAGAUACUAAAUGAGAGAUUCAAAGAACUGAAGAACUAAGAAAUCAGUGUAUCUGUGGAUAAAUGUAAAUGAACGCUAGUGUAAAAAAUAAUAAUUGUAUACCAAGCAAAACAAAUAGAAUUUAAAUACACAAAACAGUAACAUAUAUAUCAAGCUGGGGAUAAAAGAUCUUUGUAUUAUCCAAGAAAAGGUAAAAGAACGGGUUAACUGCAGACUUCGAUGAGUACUUGUAAAUUCUAAGGUACCAGAAAAUGUUAAAAAUAAUGCACAACUUCUAUUCUACUGAUAGCAAAAAAGAACGUCCUUCUUCUCCAACAAAAAGUUUCAAGGAGAGGGAGGAAUAAUAAAAAGUCACUAGAUAAAAGAUACAUGAAUACCUUUAUGCUAAUAAAUUUUAACAUUUAGACGAAAUGGAAAAGUUCAUGGAAAUUUUUAAUUUAAAUUGACAAAAAAAGUCAGGUUCCUAUAACCUGAAUUAAAAGCCUUUUACAAAGAAGAUUCUGGACUGGACCUAUGUGACUAAUAAUUCAAAAAAGAAAUAAUUAUAAUUUUAAACUCUUCCUGAGAAAAUAAGAGAGCACUGGCCAUCUGGUUUUAUAAUAUAAGCUUUAUACACAACAAAACCCAACAGUCUGAGAAAUAAAAAAUUAUAUACUAAUCUUAUUCAUGAACAAUAGACAGCAAAAUUCCUAAGUAGUAUCAAACAGAAUUACAUGAAAUUAACAAUACAGACACAAAAAACACACGUGUAAAUAACAUAUCAUGCCAACUUGUAUUUAUUAAGAAUGUAAUAAGAGUAUGACUCCAGAAAAUCAAUUAGUAUAAUUAAUUUUAAUAAGAGAUUAGAAACGAUCAUCUUAAAAGAAGCUGAAAAAGUAUUUGGUAAAAUUAAACAGAGAUUCAUGGGGGAGAGGAACUAUCAGCAAACUAAGAAAAGAGAGAGGGAGGUGCCUGGGUGCCUCAGUUCAUUAAGCCUCUGCCGCUUGAUAUCAGCUCAGGUCAUGGUCUCAGAGUUUCGUGGGAUCGAGCCCCACGUCAGACUCUACGCUGACAGCAGAGCCUGCUUGGGAUUCUCUCUCUGCCUCUCUCUCUGCCCCUCCCCAACUUGUGCUCGCGCUCUCUCUCUCUAAAAUAAACUUUAAAAAAAACAGGAGAGAGGAACUUCCUUAGAUGAUAGGUAUCUACAAAACACCUAUGACACACAUAAUCCUUAACACUAAGAGUUUUCCCUUUAAGAAUGGGAACAAGACAAAGGUGCCUACCAACCACUUCUAUUCAACAUUUUAAAAAUGCCAGCCACUGCAGUUAGGGAAACAAAGGAAAUAAAAACUAUACGGAUUGGAAAGGAAGAAACAAAAUUCUCUUUAGUCUCAAAAGGUGUGCCUGUAUUCACAGAAGUUGCCACUCUGUCAUAACAACAAGUAUAAGACUGAACAAACUGAAAAAUAACUCUUCUUAGAUACUUCAGAGAAAUGAGGUCACAAGGAAAACUACUGUCACAAAACCUGGAGAUAGGCAGAUACAGACAAUCACAAAUUGCCUGGGCAGAAACCUCUGUGGGAACAGUGCCCAGUUAUAGUAAAAAAUCAGCCAACAGAAGAAAAAGAGAAAAAGGCAGGAAGAAAGAAGAGGUUUACUAAUCGUAAGUAAGCACAGAUGUAAUGGGUUAAAUCAGUAAAGCUUUGUGAUGACAGUAAAACCAGUGAUGCUCAGCAAUGAUCACUCAAAUGAGUUAGUCAGCUGAAACAUGCUGCUGCAUACUAAGUCCUAAAGAAAGGGGAGCCAAUAAUUAAGAAAGCAUUCCUAACUGAAAUAUAUAAUUAAUUUGGCUAUUUUAAUACUGCUAUAAAUAUGUCUCUUAAUAACUACUAAUUACAAAAAAUAAGUACAAAUUACAAAAGAACGGAUACAGAAAAACAGCCACUCAGUACAUAUUCAUUCAUUUGAAUUUAAGUAUUGAGUGUCAGACAAUGGAACGCUAUUAUAGACCCUGGCCUAUAAAUAAGAGGUAGACUAGAUUUUUUUUCAGAAAGUGCCUCAUGGUCCUAAACUAGAGACAAAAGGGGUCCUACCUGUACAAGAAGAGGAGGCAGAUAAGCACAGGAUGCUAUGGGAGCACAUUCAGGUUUUCCAAAUCUGUUGAACUUUCUCAAACAUCUCUUUCUAAAAAGAAAUACUUCUAAACAGGAGCAGGUGCAAAUAAAGCUACCAAUGGCUAAUUAAACUAAGCCCCCCUUCCCCACCCUCUAGGCUUUUAGGAAUAAAGAUAUAUAUAUAUAUAUAUAUAUAUAUAAAGUGUGAAAAUGAUAAGGCAGCUUUGACACAGCACAAACACAAAGGUUACUUGUACCCACUAUUCUGUUGCAGAUGGUUUCGAACACAACACUGACAUUAUACUUAUGCCAGAAGUAAACCACAUUCAUGUGUAUGUAUACGUAUUACACAAAAAUAUACCUUCUUUGCCAGUUAACUGUAGAGACUUGGAUCUGAUGAGUGGGAAUGAGGU